rnacentral:lncRNA from 1 species
CAUUUAAUUUCGAGUUGGGUCCAUAUCUGCGUACUUAAGUUUAUUAAUAUACCCAUUGGAUCUAUUUGAGCAGAUCUGGAUAGUGACUAUACGUAUAUUACCCGCUUAAGAUUGAAUAUGAAUCUAAUAUGGAUUGGAUCUAGAUCGAGUACAGAUACUUGUAUGCAUAUAUUUUUUUUAUAGACUUUAAUAAAUAGUCUAUGGAUAAACCAUAAAUCUCUCACUAUUAAAAAUACACGUUCAAAUUAGUUGUACACAGUCUAAUAAAAUUUGUUCAAAAAAAAGAUUCAAGCAGUGAACAGAACGGCUAAAGUUAAAAGAU